ACGCUGGCGGCGUGCCUAAUACAUGCAAGUAGAACGCUGAAGAGAGGAGCUUGCUCUUCUUGGAUGAGUUGCGAACGGGUGAGUAACGCGUAGGUAACCUGCCUUGUAGCGGGGGAUAACUAUUGGAAACGAUAGCUAAUACCGCAUAACAAUGGAUGACCCAUGUCAUUUAUUUGAAAGGGGCAAAUGCUCCACUACAAGAUGGACCUGCGUUGUAUUAGCUAGUAGGUGAGGUAACGGCUCACCUAGGCGACGAUACAUAGCCGACCUGAGAGGGUGAUCGGCCACACUGGGACUGAGACACGGCCCAGACUCCUACGGGAGGCAGCAGUAGGGAAUCUUCGGCAAUGGGGGCAACCCUGACCGAGCAACGCCGCGUGAGUGAAGAAGGUUUUCGGAUCGUAAAGCUCUGUUGUAAGUCAAGAACGAGUGUGAGGGUGGAAAGUUCACACUGUGACGGUAGCUUACCAGAAAGGGACGGCUAACUACGUGCCAGCAGCCGCGGUAAUACGUAGGUCCCGAGCGUUGUCCGGAUUUAUUGGGCGUAAAGCGAGCGCAGGCGGUUUGAUAAGUCUGAAGUUAAAGGCUGUGGCUCAACCAUAGUUCGCUUUGGAAACUGUCAAACUUGAGUGCAGAAGGGGAGAGUGGAAUUCCAUGUGUAGCGGUGAAAUGCGUAGAUAUAUGGAGGAACACCGGUGGCGAAAGCGGCUCUCUGGUCUGUAACUGACGCUGAGGCUCGAAAGCGUGGGGAGCGAACAGGAUUAGAUACCCUGGUAGUCCACGCCGUAAACGCUGAGUGCUAGGUGUUGGAUCCUUUCCGGGAUUCAGUGCCGCAGCUAACGCAUUAAGCACUCCGCCUGGGGAGUACGACCGCAAGGUUGAAACUCAAAGGAAUUGACGGGGGCCCGCA
rnacentral:rRNA from 1 species